GUCUACCGCCAUGCUACCCUGACCAAGCCCGAUCCCGUGUGAUCUCAGAAGCUAAACAAAGUCGGGCCUAGGUAGUUCUUGAAUGGGAGACCACCUAGGAAGACCUAGUGCUGUAGGCU
rnacentral:rRNA from 1 species